rnacentral:rRNA from 1 species
AACGAACGCUGGCGGCAGGCCUAACACAUGCAAGUCGAGCGAGGACUUCGGUUCUAGCGGCGGACGGGUGAGUAACGCGUGGGAAUGUGCCCUUCUCUACGGAAUAGCCCUGGGAAACUGGGAGUAAUACCGUAUACGCCCUUUUCGGGAAAGAUUUACCGGUGAAGGAUCAGCCCGCGUUGGAUUAGGUAGUUGGUGGGGUAAUGGCCUACCAAGCCGACGAUCCAUAGCUGGUUUGAUAGGAUGAUCAGCCACACUGGUACUGAGACACGGCCCAGACUCCUACGGGAUGCAGCAGUGGGGAAUCUUAGACAAUGGGGGCGACCCUAGUCUAGCCAUGCCGCGUGAGUGAUGAAGGCCUUAGGGUUGUAAAGCUCUUUCAGCUGGGAAGAUAGUGACGGUACCAGCAGAAGAAGCCCCGGCUAACUCCGUG